UACGUAGGUGGCAAGCGUUGUCCGGAUUUAUUGGGUUUAAAGGGUGCGUAGGCGGUUUUCUAAGUCAGCAGUGAAAUACGGCAGCUCAACUGUCGAGGUGCUGUUGAUACUGGGGAACUUGAGUACUGAUGAGGUAGGCGGAAUGGACGGUGUAGCGGUGAAAUGCUUAGAGAUCGUCCAGAACACCGAUAGCGAAGGCAGCUUACUAAGGAGUCACUGACGCUGAGGUGCGAAAGCGUGGGGAGCAAACAGG
rnacentral:rRNA from 1 species